UACUAGUAAUAAACAAAACCUAACUUCCAUUGGCGGCUUUAAUUUUAUUAGAGGAACUUGUCUUAUAAUCGAUAAUCCACGUUAAAUUUUACUUUUUUAUAAAUUUAUAUACCGCCGUCUAAAGAAAUUUUUAAUAAAAUUUUUCAAAAAAAAAAAUAAAAAGUUAGGUCAAGGUGUAGUCCACAUUUAAGAAAAGAUGAGUUACACUAAAUUUAAUUUAAGGAAAUUUUAUAUAAACAUAUUUUUAAAAAAGGAUUUAUUAGUAAUAUUUAAUUAAUAUUAUUAAAAUAUGAAAUUAUUAAUAAGUGC
rnacentral:rRNA from 1 species